rnacentral:rRNA from 1 species
ACGGAAGGCAGCAGUGGGGAAUAUUGCACAAUGGGGGGAACCCUGAUGCAGCGAUGCCGCGUGGAGGAAGAAGGUUUUCGGAUUGUAAACUCCUGUCUUAAAGGACGAUAAUGACGGUACUUUAGGAGGAAGCUCCGGCUAACUACGUGCCAGCAGCCGCGGUAAUACGUAGGGAGCGAGCGUUGUCCGGAAUUACUGGGUGUAAAGGGAGCGUAGGCGGGAUUGCAAGUCAGAUGUGAAAACUAUGGGCUUAACCCAUAGACUGCAUUUGAAACUGUAGUUCUUGAGUGAAGUAGAGGUAAGCGGAACUCCUGGUGUAGCGGUGAAAUGCGUAGAUAUCAGGAGGAACACCGGUGGCGAAGGCGGCUUACUGGGCUUUUACUGACGCUGAGGCUCGAAAGCGUGGGGAGCAAACAGGAUUAGAUACCCUGGUA